rnacentral:lncRNA from 1 species
UUAAUUGCCCGAAUCUACUUUAUCCAACUAUUCUAUUAUCAGAGAUGUCAAUUCAAAAGGGUAGCUGGCGGUUUUAAGAAAGUACAUGUGGGGUUUUCUUUUUCAUUAAGGGCGAGUAAUUUUACUGACCCUUUCGACAGACUUCUUGGUCCAUCUCUAUAUGAUAUUUCUUCUUCAAGUAUUAGAUUAUAUACCUAUUAACAUCAGCAGCACAACCAGGGAUAAAAUUGGAGCAAUCAGGGCCAUUUAUAACAAACAUUUUAAUACCAAGAAUUUAUAACAAACAUUUUAAUAAUACAUACUUCAAAUAGCAGUAUAAU